rnacentral:rRNA from 1 species
GGAGUCUAGCAUGUGCGCAAGUCAUUGGGACAUAACUAAACCUAAAGGCAUAAUGAAAGUAAAAGUUUUUUUUAAAAAACUUAGGGAGGAUGAGUAAUCGUUUCGGCUAUUGCUCCGCACUCCCGGGGCGUCUCAUUCUCAUUGCGAGAAGAGGCGCACCAAGAGCGUACACGCUGGGACCCGAAAGAUGGUGAACUAUGCCUGGUCAGGACGAAGUCAGGGGAAACCCUGAUGGAGGUCCGUAGCGAUUCUGACGUGCAAAUCGAUCGUCGGAACUGGGUAUAGGGGCGAAAGACUAAUCGAACCAUCUAGUAGCUGGUUCCCUCCGAAGUUUCCCUCAGGAUAGCUGGCGCUCGUCGCCUACGAGUUUCAUCCGGUAAAGCGAAUGAUUAGAGGCAUUGGGGUCGAAACGGCCUCAACCUAUUCUCAAACUUUAAAUGGGUGAGAUCUUCGGCUUGCUCGAAUUUAUGAAGCCGUAAGAAUUGAAUCAGAGUGCCAAGUGGGCCAUUUUUGGUAAGCAGAACUGGCGCUGUGGGAUGAACCAAACGCUGAGUUAAAGCGCCUAAAUCGACGCUUAUGGGAUACCAUGAAAGGCGUUGGUAACUUAAGACAUCAGGACGGUGGCCAUGGAAGUC